CAAUAUUGAAAGAAGUAGAGUUUUCAUUUAAAAAGUCCAAGAAUUUAAUUUUUUAUGGUUAAUAAAUUUGAAAAACAUUUUAUAAUAUAUGUUAUUUUGGAUUUAGAAUAUUUGCUUAUGAAAUAAAAAUUACAAAGUGUAAUAUAUAAAUGCAUAAUUAUUAGAUAUAAACUAUAACUCUCCUAAAAAAUAUUUUGAUGGAGUACUAAAUUAUUUUUAUGUUUGGUUACAUAGUAUUCAAUUUAUUUAUUUUUGUUAAUUUUUGUUUACUUAUGUUAGUUUUUGUUUACUUAUGUUAGUUUUUGUUUAAUUAUGUUAGUUUUUGUUUACUUAUGUUAGUUUUUGUUUACUUAUGUUAUUUUUUGUUUACUUAUGUUAGUUUUUGUUUACUUAUGUUAGUUUUUGUUUACUUAUGUGAAUUUUUAUUUAUUUUUAUUUAUUUUUGUUUAUUUUUAUUUAUUUUUGUUUAUUUUUCAUUAUAUUUAAUUCAUUUUUAUUAUUUUUAAUUCAUGUUUAUUUUUUUUAACUAAUUUUUAUUUUUUUUAAUUUAUUUUGUUUUAACUAAUUAUGUAGCAUAUAUAUUUAUUACCAUUUUGGAAGUUAACAUAUAUUUUGUAUUUUGUUUGAUAAUUAUAUAAAAAUUACUAUUAAAAAUUUCUAAAUUUUUAAUCUAAGAAUUAAUUUUAUACAUGUCAUUUUUUAGUUAACUAUUGUUAAAAAGUUUAGUGCUACAUAAAACAAAUUAUAAGUACAACAUGAUUAAAAGAUCAAAAUUGAUAAGAUUGUAUACCAAAUUAUACUUCCUAACGUUUUUACUUGCGUUACUAAUACGUUAUAGUUAUAAUAAAAAUGGAACAAGGCAUGAUAAAAGUGUAAAUGGGCUACAGAGCACGAUUGUUGAUCGAUUAUUAGCAGAAAAAUACAGUGGCAGUGAUUCAACACGCAGUAAAAAGUUUAAAACGAAAACACAUGUUAGAUUAAAAUAACUAUAUAGUACAUUGCAAAAAAAAUAAAUAAACUAAAAAUAUAUAAAAGAGUAUACA
rnacentral:lncRNA from 1 species